rnacentral:rRNA from 1 species
GAUGAACGCUGGCGGCGUGCCUAAUACAUGCAAGUCGAGCGAAUGGAUUAAGAGCUUGCUCUUAUGAAGUUAGCGGCGGACGGGUGAGUAACACGUGGGUAACCUGCCCAUAAGACUGGGAUAACUCCGGGAAACCGGGGCUAAUACCGGAUAACAUUUUGAACCGCAUGGUUCGAAACUGAAAGGCGGCUUCGGCUGUCACUUAUGGAUGGACCCGCGUCGCAUUAGCUCGUUGGUGAGGUAACGGCUCACCAAGACAACGAUGCGUAGCCGACCUGAGAGGGUGAUCGGCCACACUGGGACUGAGACACGGCCCAGACUCCUACGGGAGGCAGCAGUAGGGAAUCUUCCGCAAUGGACGAAAGUCUGACGGAGCAACGCCGCGUGAGUGAUGAAGGCUUUCGGGUCGUAAAACUCUGUUGUUAGGGAAGAACAAGUGCUAGUUGAAUAAGCUGGCACCUUGACGGUACCUAACCAGAAAGCCACGGCUAACUACGUGCCAGCCGCCGCAGUAA